CGGAAUUGGCCGAUCCCGGCUUGUUCCUCGGCGUUUCCGGCACGGCCAAGUGAUGCGUUUCUGACUGGGCUGGAAAAUCGAGUGAACUGGCCAGGGAGCUCCAGGUCAGCCG